CCAUUGCCCGUCUUCGUCAUCACAUUCCCUUAAACACGUCACCCUCCAAACUACUACUAUUACAGAGAGGAGGGGCCAUACCAUUCCAUACCUUAGCCUUUCUCUCUUAUAGCUUGCUCUCACCUUCCCCUCUUUUCUUUAUCUUCUGUCACUUCUCUCUCUUCUUCUUUCUUCUACCCUUUUCCUCUUUCUUUCUUUGCAUACAACAUUCUUCUUCCUCUUUCUAAUUUUUUGCUCAUAUUUGCUCUGAGAAAAACAAAACAAUUUAAAAAAAAAUCAAAUGGGUCGAGGCAAGAACUGGGCUUCCUAAGUGGUUUCUUGUAA
rnacentral:lncRNA from 1 species